CCCGGGCCUUGUACACACCGCCCGUCACACCAUGGGAGUUGGUUUUACCUUAAGGCGGUGGGCUAACCUCGCAAGAGGGGGCAGCCGACCACGGUAAGGUCAGCGACUGGGGUG
rnacentral:rRNA from 1 species